AUGGCGCCCGCCCCGCCCCCGCCGCCCUCCCGCCCCCGCGGCGGCAGCGCCAUGGCGGCCGUGCGGGACGUGGAGAUCGACCCCGAGGGCACCUUCAAGUACAUCCUGGUGCGCCUGCAGCGCCCGGGCGGCGGCGAGCAGCGGGACAUCGUCCGUGGCACCAAGGCGGCCGAGUUCCACAAUCAUAUAUUUGAAAAAGUAAAUCCCGAGAUGGAAAAGCUGGGAUAUGAGUGCAAGUGCCUUGGAGGAGGGAAAAUUGAACAUAAUAGCAAAGACAAGAAAAUCAGGGUAUUUGGGCUCUCAACAGGCUAUGGAAAAGCAGAUCACUCAGUGACUGUAGAGAUACUGAAGAAAGAGUAUACAGAUUAUGAAAUCACAUGGUCAGAUGACAAGAAAUAAACUUGUGAACACAAUGAGCAAUUCCAACCUAGUAACUGUGAGCUGUGCUUUGAGAAAUAAAAUUGAAGCUUUCAUUUAAUUCAUUUGUGGAUUUAUUGACUUGCUGUCUUGAAGGCUCGCUGACUUCCAGAGGUAUUUGUAUAUAAAUUCUAAUUCUUCCCUUUGCUGUGGUUCCUACUGCACUUAUCCAGCAGUAUCUGGUGGCAUUGGGAGGCUUUUCCUUUUCAGCAUGCAAGUGACUCACAGUACAAACGGGGAAGUCUGAGAGACUUUAGGCCAAUUUCUAUCACCAAAAAUCCUGUUGUUACUCCUUACAGUUGUGAUCCAUCUUAAGUCACCUUUCUGUGGCUUUGUUUCGGUUGGGUGGGGAGGAAUUUUCUGUUCUCAUUCUCACACCUUUCAGUCCAGUUCUCAUCAGAAGAGUUCCAGGGAUCUCCAUCCCAAUAAUCUCCUCGGAGUAGAAAUCUCCUGAACCUGGUGCUACAGCUCUCUUGGUUGGCACCAGAUUCCCCCCACUUGCAGCCUGGAUUUUCCCCUCCAGCAUCCUUGCCUGCUUUUGCAUCUGCUCUUUGUGCUUCUCUUGGAAUUCUUGAGCAGUGAGUUGUCUGGCUGCACCUCAAAUACUGUGGUAAUGAUUGCAGGAUUGAUUUUACUUAACAAGAUUUUGAUUUCAGAGCAUGAUAUAAUGUCUCUGUGCCUAAUAACCAAGAAUAGGACACAAGUCAGUAACCUGCAAAUCGGGCACUUCCCAGAUCCAUUAUCGUGGGCUUUUUCCCCCCUAAGUUUUAGUAAAAUAACUGGAGCUGCCAGUAUACAAACCUGAGCUUUAAAUAGCCUCAUUUCCCAAAACUGGCAAAUGGUCUUCAAGUGGAAGUCAUCAGUUAGGCAUAGCUGUGUUAAAACAAACAAGCCUUUCAGUUUAGUUUCCUGAGGUAUUUAAUGAGUGAUUUUAAUCUUUGUCUCCACAGUACUUACAGGAAAGACAUAAUUUAGACUGGACUUAUUAUUGUAAUGACGUGUUCAAAAUGUGAGGGGGGGAAAAAACAGUGAUGAUUUGGAAUGAGCUGAUUAAAACUGAGUUACUAGCUGA